rnacentral:lncRNA from 1 species
GAAGAGGCAAGUAGUUGAAACAAGCUUAGAGAUCUUGUUCAAAUACUCAUGAGAAAACAAACAAGUACAGUAGAAAGUUCAAAGUAAACAGAGUGAAGAAACAGACUCGAAGCAUAAUGAGAGUAGAGGAAACAGUAGAAGAAAACAUGCAUUAUAUAGGUCUUUUAGAAGAAAUAUAAAAUAGAUUAAAGAAGAAGAGAAAACAGUGAAAACUUAAUCACAUGGUAGAAUGACACAUAGGCGAAGCAUAUCAGAAAAAUAGCAGAACAUAGUGAGAAACAAUGUGAGAACAAAGCAUAAAAAACACAGUCGAAGAAAGAAUGGAACACGUUAGAAGAACAUGCGUGGUAAAGGGAAAACAUAAGAACACAGUUGAAGAAUAUGCGUGGUAAGAAAGAAAACAUAAGAAUAUAGUACGGACAAAUACACACAAAGGAAAGGAAAAGAAAAGUCAGAGAAACAUUUUGAAGUUUUCAGAAAACCCUAAAUGGGGAAGAAGUAACUUAUGAAAGUAAUUUUUGAAAGAAAAGUUGGGAAAAUCGUUCAAAAACUCAAAUAGAUCAUGGAUAAGCAACAAAUCUGAGAAAAUCAGAGAAAACCUCGAAUAGUUAGGGUUUCCAAAUAACCCUAGAGUGAGAAAGGCUUGGAAAAGGUACAAUCUAAGUCGGAUAAGGAGAGAAACAUGCCCAGAAGACCAAGAGCCACCAGAGCAAGGCUGGAGAUGAUCGGAAUCCUAGAAUCGGUGAAGGUCUGAGUGAAGAACCUCAAAUUCUGGCCUCGAACCUUCGAGCAUCAGGCAUGUAUGAGCCAUAGGAGGUGAGUAUAAGUUGUCCAUGGCCUGAGAAGCCAUGGACUCCGGGGAGUUUAAGGGUUGAGAUGGUAGAAGGCGGCUAGGUUUUGAGGGUGAGUUGAGAGAGAACUGAGAGAGGAGGGAUUCAGAGGAAAC